UAACCUGCCCCAAACUCUGGGAUAAGCACUGGAAACGGUGUCUAAUACCGGAUACGAGCUUCAGCCGCAUGGCUAGGAGUUGGAAAGAAUUUCGGUUUGGGAUGGACUCGCGGCCUAUCAGCUAGUUGGUGAGGUAAUGGCUCACCAAGGCGACGACGGGUAGCCGGCCUGAGAGGGUGACCGGCCACACUGGGACUGAGACACGGCCCAGACUCCUACGGGAGGCAGCAGUGGGGAAUAUUGCACAAUGGGCGCAAGCCUGAUGCAGCAACGCCGCGUGAGGGACGACGGCCUUCGGGUUGUAAACCUCUUUUAGUAGGGAAGAAGCGAAAGUGACGGUACCUGCAGAAAAAGCACCGGCUAACUACGUGCCAGCAGCCGCGGUAAUACGUAGGGUGCAAGCGUUGUCCGGAAUUAUUGGGCGUAAAGAGCUCGUAGGCGGUUUGUCGCGUCUGCUGUGAAAACCCGAGGCUCAACCUCGGGCCUGCAGUGGGUACGGGCAGACUAGAGUGCGGUAGGGGAGAUUGGAAUUCCUGGUGUAGCGGUGGAAUGCGCAGAUAUCAGGAGGAACACCAAUGGCGAAGGCAGAUCUCUGGGCCGUAACUGACGCUGAGGAGCGAAAGCAUGGGGAGCGAACAGGAUUAGAUACCCUGGUAGUCCAUGCCGUAAACGUUGGGAACUAGAUGUGGGGACCAUUCCACGGUCUCCGUGUCGCAGCUAACGCAUUAAGUUCCCCGCCUGGGGAGUACGGCCGCAAGGCUAAAACUCAAAGGAAUUGACGGGGGCCCGCACAAGCGGCGGAGCAUGCGGAUUAAUUCGAUGCAACGCGAAGAACCUUACCAAGGCUUGACAUAUAGAGGAAACGGCUGGAAACAGUCGCCCCGCAAGGUCUCUAUACAGGUGGUGCAUGGUUGUCGUCAGCUCGUGUCGUGAGAUGUUGGGUUAAGUCCCGCAACGAGCGCAACCCUCGUCCUAUGUUGCCAGCACGUAAUGGUGGGAACUCAUGGGAUACUGCCGGGGUCAACUCGGAGGAAGGUGGGGAUGACGUCAAAUCAUCAUGCCCCUUAUGUCUUGGGCUUCACGCAUGCUACAAUGGCCGGUACAAAGGGCUGCAAUACCGCAAGGUGGAGCGAAUCCCAAAAAGCCGGUCUCAGUUCGGAUUGAGGUCUGCAACUCGACCUCAUGAAGUCGGAGUCGCUAGUAAUCGCAGAUC
rnacentral:rRNA from 1 species